AUCUAUAGCAUACCACCCUGAAUGUAUCCAAUCUCAUCUGAUCUUGGAAACUAAGCAGGGUUGGUCCUGCUUCAUACCCAGAUGGGAGAAAUAUUUCAACCUGGAGCCCACAGAUC
rnacentral:rRNA from 1 species